UCUAUCUCUCUCAUAACUCACACAUCUCACAAGCUUCAUCAGACCUUCUCUCUCUCCUUCUCUCUCUCAGGCGACUCAAGAACAUCAACCACCUUCUCUUUCGGGCGACUCAGAAUCAGAGUCAGAAGCUUAAAUGGGCUCAAGGGAAAGCGGGUGAGAAUCGGGUACAUGUUUUGGAGGAGCACGGGUGAGUUUUCGUGGGGAUUUAUGAUGGGUUUAACGGUCCGGAUUCACCGGAUUAUCUGUUGUCGAAUUUGUAUCCUGCUGUCGGUCUUCUUCAUUUGAGUUCUCCCAUGGAGAAAUCUGAUGAACUUCUCCUGCGAGUUCUAAAGUCGUUGCCAUUAGGUUUCUACUCAGGUUUUCCCUAAGAUGGUUGAAGAUGGAUUUCCAAGCCCUAACGUUGUCACAAUCGGAAUCAUGCCGAUUUGUACUUUUUAUUGGUAUUAAUCUUUAUGGGUAUUCUUUAAGGUGUUUUUGUUUUGAUUCCCAAGCCCUAAGUUAGUUAUUUUAUUGUGUUUUGAUUGUAUGAAUCAAACAAUGUUAAUGUUGUUAUGUUUAUAUCGAGCUUUAGAGAUCUGCAAGUGUUUCCGAGAUCCCUCAAUGCGUUACGAGUGGCUUUGUAUUUGGCACACACAUUAGACCACGACUGCAACAAAGUGCGGUUUCUGUACCCCGACUACUUUAAUGCUUACAAAAUCUUGCUUAAUAAGGUAGCUACACGAUCUUAGAGGUGACGAGAUGGACUGUUGGUUGUGGUUUGUCGUUCUGCGUUAUUAUCUUUGCUGGGAUGGAAGCCCUGUGCUCAGAUUGAAGAUAUGUGAUUUUGGUUACUCAAUGGUAAGCAUUAAUUUACUUCUUAUAAUCUUGAGAACUAUUAUAUUGUUCUUAAAAGCUGUAUAUUAGAGGACUUAGCAAAGGGUGUUAAUUUAGUUCAUAUCCCAAGGAAUCUUUUAGACGACUUGCGUUUUUAUUUGAAGUAAAGUGUGUCUUCAACAACUAUGAACAUGCAUUUAUAUGUGAUGUUAAUAGUCCAUUUAAAAAAAAUCGAUAGAGAGAAGUUUGUUUGCCGCAGGAAGGUCUCAAAAGAACAAUUUAAUCUGAAACUUUUCUUAAAAUAAAGGGGCUUCCAAAAUUAUAGUAUAUAGUGAAUUGGUAUAUUUAUUAGGACCAUAAGUGUUAUGAGUUGCAACUGUUAGAGUUAAUCUAUGUUAGCGAUGAAAGAUAUUAAAAAUAUAAGUGAGGUCUGGUACAGGUUAGGGUGGGUUUUAAAAAGUCGGCAUUUUGGUUUGUGUUAAAACGAGUUUUAUUAAAAUGGAUGGGUCGAAAUGGCUUUUUUUUAAUAAAAAUGUAUUAGAUAACUAGAAAUAAUAAUUAUGACCAUAUUUAUUGUUGUCGAAAUGAGUGACGAGGGUUGUUGGUGCAUACAUCUGUCGUCUUCGUCUUAUAUCGAGUCUCGGUUUCGGUGCGGAUCUGAACAAGCGUGACAUCAUAUAUGUGACAUCACAUAUAUGACAUCACAUAUUGCAGCCAAGGUGGCAGCUAAAGCAUAUGAACUUGGUGAGCCCUCUAUUCAUACAGUCUGGGCCAACAAAACCAACAAACCAAACCAGACCGUCGACCGUUGGUUUUUGGUGCUUGAGAUUUUAAAAGACCCGCUCAUGGUUAUCAAGUUUUUCAAUUUUUUAUUCCAUUAAAAUUAAUUCACACACAAGGAGCAAUAUCUACACCAAUCUUAUAAAUGUAGCUUUAUAAAAGGAUUUUCAAUUUUCAAACUUUGAUGGCCAACCUGAUGAAGACACUUUUUUUGGGGUAAAAUUUCAUCAUCACAAGGUAUCAUGUGCACAUUUGUUGUAAACCAAACUUCAUGAAUUUAUCCAUUUUGUUUUUGUAUUUAUAAAUAACAAAUGAGCUGGGUUGGGUUAACCAAAACACCAUUUUACCUUUUUUUUUGUUUUUUUAGCUUGAACCUGAGCUCAAUGUAAGACUUGAGUGAGCUCGAGUUGCUCAAUUCAACCUUGACUUGUAUGCAAGAAUGUGCUCUCGAAUGGGAUGACAACCGUGAUAACCCCUGGUCUUAAAGUCAAGCUUUCAACUAUUCAGUCAAAGUCAACAUCUUUGACUAUGCCCAGAUUUGAAGUUCAGUGACUAGGUACUAGAGUUAGGAGAGCUUUGGAUGGUUGGUUAAUGAGUCUGAUAGUUUGUAUAGUUUGCUAUAUUAGAUCUAUUUGUGCUUUUCAAGAGCCUUGCUGCUGUAGAAACCAUUUUUGUUACAUGGCUUUUGAAGGGUACACAUUCUAUGAGCCUUGCUGUUAAAGUAAAUUUACAUUUUGCGGCUGGCCCCAAUAAAGGAGACACAAGCCAUUGCGAGAUCUGUGGCCGGAGCCUUGAUGCUUUUUUUUUGUUCACUUGGUUGCAAGCUGCUAAACAUGAGAACGAAGCUGAACCGAAGAAGAUCUGCAUCCAAUUUUUGCUGAAUGGGGACCACUUCGUCAUGUCCGUGUUAUCAUGGAGUGAAAUUUCGGUGUUUCCGGUGGAUUCGCAUUUAUAGAUUUCCCGACCACGGGGUCUGCACGCUCGAUGAUGGAUAAAGUUGGAGAUGAGGGUCUUCUUGUUGAUGGUAGGAAGCUAUUUUUUGAGUAUAGUAAGCCAGCUGGAGGAGCCGGUGGACCUUUCUUCGGGUCAGACGGGUCAUCGAGGGCGGGUCAUAUGAACCACUGAAGCACAAUGCUUCUUCCGGAUUGGAUGUGCACAAUAUGUGGCUGCGUUAAUUUUGCUAGGAGGACAUCAUGUUUUCAGUGUAACGAACCUAGGACAGACAAUGCUCCUCUUGCUGACAUAGCAUCAUCAAAUCAUGCUUCAUUUGGUAAGAAAGGAGAGACAGGCCUCACUCCUAUUAGAUGAAAAUGCUGACAGGGCCCUACUCCAAUAGUUAUUUCCCUUUUAAUCCCUAUAGAAGGGUAUGGCUGACCUUUCAUUAAAUCAUUUUCACCUUCCAGAGUAUGGCUGACCGUAUAAUCGUGAUGAGAACUUCACUUAGGGAAAACAUCGAGAAGUUGGGCUCUCCGUUAUCAUGGGAACACAUAACUAAUCAGAUUGGCAUGUUCUGCUAUAGUGGAAUGACUCCUGAACAAGUUGAUCGCUUGACAAAAGAGUUUUACAUUUACAUUGUUGUAGCGGGCCAUGCUUAUUGUUCUAAUUGUUGUAGCUGGCCAAGCUUAUUGUUUUGCUAAUUGUUAUGACAGGACAUAAAAAGUGUAUACGGGUCACUGUUAAAGCUGCUUACAAUUGUUUUUCUGAAUACAUGUUAUGGGUAGUUGUAACGGG